rnacentral:rRNA from 1 species
GACGAACGCUGGCGGCGUGCUUAAUACAUGCAAGUCGAACGGAAAGGCCCUGCUCUCAGGGUACUCGAGUGGCCAACGGGCGAGUAACACACAGGUGGUCUACCCACCACUUCGGGUUAAAUCUCGGAAACAGGCCCUAAUACCUGCCAGGUGCCAUAUUUAGCGGCAUGGUUGGAUAGUUUAUUCCGCUUAUGAUGUGUCUGCUGCAUAUCUGCGUGCCGGAGGGGCAAUGGCCUACCAAGGCGGCGACGGGUGGCCGGCCUGAGAGGGUGGACGGCCACAUUGGGACUGAGAUACGGCCCAGACUCCUACGGGAGGCAGCAGUGGGGAGUAUUGCAGAAUGGGCGCAAGCCUGAUGCAGCGACGCCGCGUGGGGGAUGACGGGCUACGGGUUGUAAACUCAUUUCGCUAGGGACGAAGCUUUUGUGACGGUACCUAGACAGGAAGCACCGGCUAACUACGUG